rnacentral:rRNA from 1 species
UGGGGAAUAUUGCACAAUGGAGGGAACUCUGAUGCAGCGACGCCGCGUGAGUGAUGAAGGAAUUCGUUUCGUAAAACUCUGUUCUAUGGGAAGAAAAGGACUGUACCAUAGGAGAAAGCUCCGGCUAAAUACGUGCCAGCAGCCGCGGUAAUACGUAUGGAGCGAGCGUUGUCCGGAAUUAUUGGGCCUAAAGGGUGCGCAGGCGGCUUUACAAGUUGGAUGUGAAAUAUUGUGGCUCAACCACAAACGUGCAUCCAAAACUGCAAAGCUUGAGUUAAGGAGAGGUAAGUGGAAUUCCUGGUGUAGCGGUGGAAUGCGUAGAUAUCAGGAGGAAUACCGGUGGCGAAGGCGACUUACUGGACUUAAACUGACGCUCAGGCACGAAAGCGUGGGGAGCAAACAGG